rnacentral:lncRNA from 1 species
GCUCCGCUAGGUCUUUGUCUGAAAGCUAGUCCCGUCAGAUUUCUUUACCUCAGAAUGAGCUAAUGAGGGGCUGUGGUUUAAUAACAAAAUGCUAGGUUCGUAGGAGGAAUUUGCGAGGUGCUGCUCGACCUAAUAGUUGAACCUAAAGGUUUCUUGAUUCAAUCAAAUUUCUGGCUUGAGGCAGUUUGUUGUAAAACGAGAAGGAUAGAUCACCAAACAGAGUGCAAGUGACAUUUGAAUUGACUUUGCUAAAAUAUUACUGAUCAACUGAACCUCUCAUUUCAC